UAUGCUUUGGUUUGAAUAACCGUCUCCUUUGUUUUCCUUUACUGAUUAGGGUAAUGAAUUCCUUCCUCUGGCAAGGUUAUUAAAUGAACUGGAAGCAAGUUACACUGGCAGCACAGCCCUAUUUUUUGAGGGCUGCUUAGGACUCUUAUAUAAAUUUCCUUUCCCUCAGGGCUCAACAUCACCAGGCCAGUCUCCAUGGCAACGUCUCAUCCACCCCUUCCCUCACACACCCCCCCUCCACCUCCAAAUGUGAUGUCAUAAGGCAGAGCAAGACUAACCCGAGUGCAGCAGCUGACUGCCACACAUCAGAGCACUCAUCUCCAGGCAGUGACUGGAGUGUUGCAUGCAGCAAUCAAUCGUGCAGCGGAGCACUAUUUCCUGUGACACCUUUUGGAUUUAACAGACAUCACGAAGGAGGACCAGAGACACUGUAGAUUCCUGGCAUACCCCACAGAUAUCUACAGCAGAUCCAGCUCCCUCUGAGCAGUUUCUCAACAGAAGGAUGCCGUGGCUCUUCCUGGACUGGUUUGUUCCCGUGUACCUGCUUGUAUCCGUCUUGGUUCUGGCUGGGUUUGGUGCUUGCCUCUACUUUCUGGAGCCAGGACUGCAGGAUGCGCAUAAAUGGAGUGCCCAGUCUGCACACAGGCGUCCACUCGUGUCCAGCGAUGACAACUACGGCAAAGACGAAGACAACAAUGCACUAAUAUGAUAAUAAUGACAGAUGCUUCAAUGUUGUGCACUGUUUUAUCUCAUUAUGAAGAGCACUUCUUAUUUACAUUUCAGGGAGAACUGCACUGAAGGUUUCCUAUUGGGAUUAGGCUCAUAAUACCCCCUAAUCAAAGACAGAUAGAACUCACAACAACAACAUUUCUGACACCAACAAAAACAGUCUGUUGGGGCAGGUAACACCGCCUCAAAAAAAUAGUGGUACUCCUCUACUAAAUGUGCCAAACUGUACCAACAGUGAAACAGAGAAACACAGAAACAAGUACGUUAAAAUGUUACUAAUUUUACGUCUGUGAUUCUUUUCUACUUGGCGCACAGCAGUCUGCUCUGUCCAAGUGCACAAGGGUUCGAGGCCCAUCCUCUUUGUGCUCUCAAACAAAUUUCCUUACGUCAACAUACACAACGGAGGCCAGGGUUCCUGCCAUGUAUGUUUAGAUUUUAUGUGCCAAUGCUCCAAAAUUUGUGUGUUUGUUCUUGGCAUUUUCGUAGUGCACCUUGUUUAUCAAAUAUGUAAAUUGAUAUAAAGUUAUGAAGAGUGAAAAGCUGUUCUUCAUGAGAACAAUGUGUU